CCAUGAUUUGCUACUCGCUAGUCAGUUGCCGGUGGUAUUAAGGGGACAGCCUUAUUCUGGAGAGCAUUUGAUUGGACAAAAAAUCUAUGUAGUGCAGAUACAUGCUGAUAUACAGUAUGGAGGAAAUGUGAUGUGAGGUUUGAGCCAGUGACCACAUGCUAACUGUUUGUGGAAAACCACGUGAAGUGAAGAGCCUGGCAAGUCACCGAAAGCUUGGAUGAUGUCAGGAUGACAGGUUUUUAGUACAGUGACUCACUACUGAUUUUCAGUCAAAGGACGUUAGAAGCCAAAACUUCUCUGGGCCUGUAACCACCAGACACACCUUGGAAUACACAUGCAUAAAUUCAUAAACAGAG